rnacentral:rRNA from 1 species
GAUGAACGCUGGCGGCGUGCCUAAUACAUGCAAGUCGAGCGAACGGACGAGAAGCUUGCUUCUCUGAUGUUAGCGGCGGACGGGUGAGUAACACGUGGAUAACCUACCUAUAAGACUGGGAUAACUUCGGGAAACCGGAGCUAAUACCGGAUAAUAUUUUGAACCGCAUGGUUCAAAAGUGAAAGACGGUCUUGCUGUCACUUAUAGAUGGAUCCGCGCUGCAUUAGCUAGUUGGUAAGGUAACGGCUUACCAAGGCAACGAUGCAUAGCCGACCUGGGAGGGUGAUCGGCCACACUGGAACUGAGACACGGUCCAGACUCCUACGGGAGGCAGCAGUAGGGAAUCUUCCGCAAUGGGCGAAAGCCUGACGGAGCAACGCCGCGUGAGUGGUGAAGGUCUUCGGAUCGUAAAACUCUGUUAUUAGGGAAGAACAUAUGUGUAAGUAACUGUGCACAUCUUGACGGUACCUAAUCAGAAAGCCACGGCUAACUACGUG